UACGUAGGGGGCGUGCGUUGUCCGGAGUUACUGGGCGUAAAGCGCUUGUAGGCGGUCCACCAAGUUUGGGGUGACAGUUGCCGACUUAAUCGGCAAAGUGCCUCAAAGACUGGCGGACUUGAGGGCCACAGAGGGACAUGGAACUCCAGGUGUAGUGGUGAAAUGCGUAGAUAUCUGGAAGAACACCAAAGGCGAAGGCAGUGUCCUGGGUGGUCGCUGACGCUGAGAGGCGAAAGCCAGGGGAGCGAACGGG
rnacentral:rRNA from 1 species